GACGAACCGUGCGAACGUUGUUCGGAAUCACUGGGCUUAAAGGGCGCGUAGGCGGUUCAUCAAGUCUGGGGUGAAAUCUUUCGGCUUAACCGGAAAAGUGCCUGAGAUACUGAUGAGCUGGAGGGAGGUAGGGGCAGCUGGAACUUCCAGUGGAGCGGUGAAAUGCGUUGAUAUUGGAAGGAACUCCGGUGGCGAAAGCGAGCUGCUGGCCCUCUUCUGACGCUGAGGCGCGAAAGCCAGGGGAGCAAACGGG
rnacentral:rRNA from 1 species